AUGGCGUUCAAGAAGCGGCGCAUCUUUGAUCUACGCGUGGUGCAAUCGCAACAGCAUAUGUCUAGGUCUUUGGAAGGCCACAGGAACAGCAAUAGCACCGCUACCUUCUCAGUGCUCAGUCAUGGCCACAGUCGCCGACGUUGGAAAUAUUAUCAGCUGCGACUUAUUUGGAAUUGGUUCACGGAAAGUCUGCGCAAUUAUUGUCAGACCACAUCGUUGCAUGGCUUCAGCUACAUUACUCGCCAGGAUAUCAGCAGGAAUGAACGCUUCUUUUGGUUGUUUGUUGUCUUGUCUGCCAUUAUUGCCUCCAUAUCUCUGGUAUUAGUUUCGCUGUAUGCGAAUCGUGAGACGCCAACGGUGACUGUCAUCGAGAGUUCACAUUUCCCCACCUGGAAUAUUCCCUUUCCUGCUGUAACGAUUUGCAAUUUCAACAAGAUUUCGAAGACCAAAGCUUUAAACUUGAUGCGAAAUAUGCAACUGCCACCCAACGUCACCAAUGAGCAUUUGCAGCAACUUUUUAACCUAACACUACUCCCAGUGGGCAACACCAUUAGCAACGAUUCACUACAGAUCUACGACAAUAUUUUAAACAUGAAUAAUAUUACUCUCACGGAGCUGAGCAAACAACUCUCGCCCGACUGCCUGGAGAUGAUCUCUCGAUGCAUCUGGAAGGGCAUCAACACACGCUGCGAGAGUCUCUUUCAACGCAUCAUGACACUCGAGGGCACUUGCUGCAGCUUCAACUACUUUGCUGCAUUGACCAAUAAUUUUCCAACAAAGAUUGCUUACCAGGUGCCCAAGCGGCCGUAUCGGGUGACAGGGUGUGGCUAUCCGACUGGACUUUCCGUGCUCCUCGAUCCCAUGGUCGCCGAUUAUUAUGGCACAUUCUUUAGCGGCUUUGGCUUUCGCCUGCUCAUCCACAAUUCGCAUAAUUUUCCCGAUGAGAACGCAGAGUCCAAAGUGGUAACCUCCACGCGAGAAAGUUUCGUGCGCAUCAAUCCAGAAUCGACAUAUGCCACUAGGGAUAUACAGCGCAUGGACUUGAAGUGGAGGAACUGCCUCUUUGGCAACGAGCGUAAGCUGGAUGGACUCAGACGAUACUCAUUCAUCAACUGCAUGUUCGAGUGCAGAAUGCGAAUGACUCUAGAGAUCUGCGGCUGCCUGCCCGCCUAUGUGGCAAACAAUGGCACCUUCAAGGUGUGCGGAGUUCUUCAUUUAAACUGCAUUAUUGAGAGCAAACGUCUCUAUUCUCGUGCCUUGGCGAAUCUGGGCGCGUCGCUCUCCAGAGUUCGUCGUACAACCAGUUUUCCCUGUGAUUGUCUCCCUGAUUGUGAGUCCAAUUUGUAUGUCUCCGAGAGCACCAUGGGCCGCUUAGAGGUUAAUUACUCCAGCAGAAGAAGUAGCAGCUCCAGUCAAACAGAUAGCAUUUUGGUUCAUGUAUUCUUCAGCGACCUGAUGUCCACUCGAUACCGCAUGGAAAUAUUUCAGAACUGGCUAUCGGCACUAGCUUCAUUUGGCGGCCUGUUGGGCCUUAUUCUUGGCUUCAGCAUUGUCACUGCCUUCGAAUUUGUUUAUUUCCUUACAUUUCGUCCUAUUUUCAAUUACAUCAACCGUGAUAGAGACUAAAUUUCAAAUAAUCUCAAUCAAUACAGUUCACUGUAGAUUACGUGAAUGCCUUACUAUAAUCAAUAAUGGGAAAUUUCGCAAUGCACAAAAUGGUUUUGCCCAAGAAUCAAGACACGUACUCGAAGUUAAUCUGCUAUAUUGAAACGUACUAUGCGUAUACUUGAUUAGAUGUGUGGGCAGAGUGUAGAUCGUGAUCGCAAAUAAAUUUCGAAAGAGCAUCUAUCUAUUGGGUAUGUUAAAUGUAUUUUUAACUUAGUAUCAAUCACAUGGUUUUUAUUGCUCUACACAAAAUUCCUACGAAAUGCGAAAGUUGAUAAUUACAAAUGAUUCAAACAAUAACGUAAAACCCAUGUCACAAUAUUCGCAAUGCACAAAUGCAAUGACAUGUGUACACAUUCCAACACCAGUUAAAGUAAUUAAUUAAUUAAUUCAUCAUUAAUAAAAUUCAGUUUUAUAUGU